rnacentral:rRNA from 1 species
GAUGAACGCUGGCGGCGUGCCUAAUACAUGCAAGUCGAGCGAACGGACGAGAAGCUUGCUUCUCUGAUGUUAGCGGCGGACGGGUGAGUAACACGUGGAUAACCUACCUAUAAGACUGGGAUAACUUCGGGAAACCGGAGCUAAUACCGGAUAAUAUUUUGAACCGCAUGGUUCAAAAGUGAAAGGCGGUCUUGCUGUCACUUAUAGAUGGAUCCGCGCUGCAUUAGCUAGUUGGUAAGGUAACGGCUUACCAAGGCAACGAUGCAUAGCCGACCUGAGAGGGUGAUCGGCCACUCUGGAACUGAGACACGGUCCAGACUCCUUCGGGAGGCAGCAGUAUGGAAUCUUCCGCAGUGGGCGAAAGCCUGACGGAGCGACGCCGCGUGAGUGAUGAAGGUCUUCGGAUCGUAAAACUCUGUUAUUAGGGAAGAACAUAUGUGUAAGUAACUGUGCACAUCUUGACGGUACCUAAUCAGAGAGCCACGGCUAACUACGGA